GCCCCCGUAGCCCAACCGGCAGAGGCAGGCCCCUUAAAAGGGCCACAGGUGUGGGUUCGACUCCCACCGGGGGCACCU
rnacentral:tRNA from 1 species